CCUACGGGUGGCUGCAGUCGAGAAUCUUGGGCAAUGGGCGAAAGCCUGACCCAGCAAUUCCGCGUGCGGGAUGAAGGUCUUCGGAUCGUAAACCGCUGUCACUGGGGACGAAUUUUGACGGUACCUGGAGAGGAAGACACGGCUAACUACGUGCCAGCAGCCGCGGUAAUACGUAGGUGUCAAGCGUUGUUCGGAUUUAUUGGGCGUAAAGGGUCCGCAGGUGGCCUGGCAAGUCUGAUGUGAAAUCCCGAAGCUCAACUUCGGAACUGCAUUGGAAACUGCUAGGCUAGAGUAUCGGAGAGGAGAUUGGAAUUCCAGGUGUAGCGAUAAAAUGCGUAGAUAUCUGGAAGAACAUCGAAAGCGAAGGCAGAUCUCUGGACGGUUACUGACACUCAGGGACGAAAGCAUGGGGAGCAAACAGGAUUAGAUACCCUAGUAGUC
rnacentral:rRNA from 1 species